rnacentral:rRNA from 1 species
CCUACGGGAGGCAGCAGUGAGGAAUAUUGGUCAAUGGACGAGAGUCUGAACCAGCCAAGUAGCGUGAAGGAUGACUGCCCUAUGGGUUGUAAACUUCUUUUAUAUGGGAAUAAAAUGUUCCACGUGUGGGAUUUUGUAUGUACCAUAUGAAUAAGGAUCGGCUAACUCCGUGCCAGCAGCCGCGGUAAUACGGGGGAUCCGAGCGUUAUCAGGAUUUAUUGGGUUUAAAGGGAGCGUAGGUGGAUUGUUAAGUCAGUUGUGAAAGUUUGCGGCUCAACCGUAAAAUUGCAGUUGAAACUGGCAGUCUUGAGUACAGUAGAGGUGAGCGGAAUUCGUGGUGUAGCGGUGAAAUGCUUAGAUAUCACGAAGAACUCCGAUUGCGAAGGCAGUUCACUGGACUGCAACUGACACUGAGGCUCGAAAGUGUGGGUAUCAAACAGGAUUAGAUACCCUGGUAGUC